CCUGCGGAAGGAUCAGUAG
rnacentral:rRNA from 1 species